rnacentral:rRNA from 1 species
CCUACGGGAGGCAGCAGUAAGGAAUAUUGGACAAUGCUCGCAAGAGUGAUCCAGCCAUACCGCGUGCAGGAAGAAUGCCCUAUGGGUAGUAAACUGCUUUUGAACUAGAGAAAACCCCAGUACGUGUACUGGGCUGAUAGUAUAGUUAGAAUAAGCAUCGGCUAACUUCGUGCCAGCAGCCGCGGUAAGACGAAGGAUGCAAGCGUUAUCCGGAUUCAUUGGGUUUAAAGGGAGCGUAGGUGGACUGAUAAGUCAGUGGUGAAAUCUCCGAGCUUAACUCGGAAAUUGCCAUUGAUACUGUUGGUCUUGAGUACAGUUGCUGUGGGCGGAAUAUGACAUGUAGUGGUGAAAUACAUAGAGAUGUCAUAGAACACCGAUUGCGAAGGCAGCUCACAAAGCUGUAACUGACACUGAGGCUCGAAAGUGCGGGGAUCAAACAGGAUUAGAUACCCUGGUAGUCCGCACCGUAAACGAUGAUUACUCGCUGCUAGGGGGCAACCUUUAGUGGCUUAGCGAAAGCGAUAAGUAAUCCACCUGGGGAGUACGCCGGCAACGGUGAAACUUAAAUGAAUUGACGG